rnacentral:rRNA from 1 species
CAGUCGCCACGGGAAUACGUAGGUGGCAAGCGUUGUCCGGAAUUAUUGGGCGUAAAGGGCUCGCAGGCGGUUUCGUAAGUCUGAUGUUAAAGCCCCCGGCUCAACCGGGGAGGGUCAUUGGAAACUGGGAAACUUGAGUGCAGAAGAGGAGAGUGGAAUUCCACGUGUAGCGGUGAAAUGCGUAGAGAUGUGGAGGAACACCAGUGGCGAAGGCGACUCUCUGGUCUGUAACUGACGCUGAGGAGCGAAAGCGUGGGGAGCGAACAGGAUUAGAUACCCGCGUAGUCCCUGUCUCUUAUAC